rfam:Sphingobium sp. 66-54 SCNpilot_expt_1000_bf_scaffold_246, whole genome shotgun sequence.
CUCGCGGGCCGGGCCCCUCUGGCGAAAGUGACGCCCCCUUGUCCUUUCGUGAUGUCGGACCGCAUCG